UCAGCCUUAUAUAACCAUUCUCAUGUCAUUGUAUGAAUUCACAAAAUCAGUCCAGUCAUGUAUCAUGUUUCAGACUCAGUCAUGUAAUCAUGUUUCCAAUCAUGCAUGUUUAGUAUAUUAUCUUAGUUCUCCUAGUAUUCUCAGCUAAGUCUCAUUCAAGGACGAAUAUUCCUAAGGGGGAGAUAAUGUACACCCCACAUUUUCAGGCUAGAAUUCA
rnacentral:lncRNA from 1 species